rnacentral:rRNA from 1 species
UACGGGGGGGGCAAGCGUUGUUCGGAAUUACUGGGCGUAAAGGGCUCGUAGGCGGCCAACUAAGUCAGACGUGAAAUCCCUCGGCUUAACCGGGGAACUGCGUCUGAUACUGGAUGGCUUGAGUUCGGGAGAGGGAUGCGGAAUUCCAGGUGUAGCGGUGAAAUGCGUAGAUAUCUGGAGGAACACCGGUGGCGAAGGCGGCAUCCUGGACCGACACGUGACGCUGAGGAGCGAAAGCCAGGGAGCAAACGGG